GAAUAGCUCUUACAAGUUGCUGUAACUUCGAUUUUUUAAUUUUAUCUCAGAACCUACAUAGCAGCUUUGCAAACCAGGGAGGAGAUCUUGAGAACUCUUUGUGGUUCUCUCUUGCCAAAAAAGACUGGGUAGCUGAAAAAAAUCUUGUCAAGUCUACAUUCGAAUACGCUGCGAACAUAAUUGAAAUGGCUCUGUACAUGGCAAAAAGUAAUAUGAAAGAGUUUUUUACACUGCUGAAAUAAUGUGCGAUCCGGGAACAAUUGCUGGGAAAUUACCGAAACCAGA
rnacentral:lncRNA from 1 species